CACCACCGUCACUGGAGUAUUUCCCAUUCAUAUUCUGAUGAAAGGAGUAUUUUCACUAAUGAAUCAGGUUAAUAACAGUUAUCUUUCAGAUAACUUCAAAAACUGGUGAUACUACGAUAGGUAGUGAUACUGUUUCAAACUUCUUUUCUUUUUCUCCUGUAGAAAGAAAAGAGGCUGCACAGCAUUCCCCAGUGGGCUCAAUGACUGCCAGGAUUAUCCUUACAUAAUCAGUCCCUAGCAUAGUUUCCAUUUUGUAUCUGAGAGUCCAACAAGGUCUGUUGAGUAAAAUGAACACAUCUUUCUCAGUAUUAUUACCUCCAUUAGCUUGAAGGAAAUUAUUGUUUUCUAGAAAAAGUUUGAUCAGAGAGAGCUGCCCAGAGGGCUUCAGAGUUGAAAUAGCAGAUCUGACUGGGUACUUCAAGUUGAACAAAGAGAUGCUGAAGGCAGUUAGAGCUGUAAAGAAAGGUGAACCUGGAUUAAAAACAGGAAAAAGUCAUGAGGAGAGGGGAACACAGGUGAAGUCGAUGGGAAAACUUGUAGGACAUGAACUGAAGUCUGGAAAACUGUAAGUCACAUUAUAACCAAAAUGACUGUAGUUAAUUCUCUGAAUUAGAUAAAGGAGUAUAUUGUAUGCUCUUAAACCAGUAUUUUAAAAAAACUUUUGUUGGGUAAGCACAAAUACAAUCAUAUUUCUGUGACUUUAAAGGGCUUAAGAGUUUAUAAGUGAAUCUGGUUAGUUCAGUUUUGCUACCUAGGAUGGUGUAAUCCUAGACUGGUUUGUAAGAUGAACUUACCCUGCAUGGUUUGCCCAGAGACAAAUAUGAAGCCUAAGGAUUUAUGAAAAUGUGGAUGGAAAGGAAUCUCGAAGAUCUGAUGAAGUAUUCAAACCUUCCAAUUACAGAGUAGAAAAUGUUUCCCUUUGAUUUUUAGACAUAACCUCCAUUUUUAUAGUCCACCUCACCAUCAUACCACCAACGUGCAGUGUAGAGUAUCUUGUCCUUUUCCUUUUUUUUUUUUUUUUUUUUUUGAGGCAGGGUCUCACUCUGUCACUGAGGCUAGAGAGCAGUGACAUGAUUAUGGCUCACUGUAGUCUCAACCUCCUUGGCUCAGGUAAUUCUUCUGCCUCAGCCUCUCAAGUAGCUGGGACUACAGGUGCACAUCACCAUGCUCUGCUAGUUUUUUGUAUUUUUUAUAGAGAUGGAGUUUCUCCAUGUCGUCCAGGCUGGUCUCAAACUCCUGGGCUCAAGCAAUCCACCUGCCUUGGCCUCCCAAAGUGCUGGAAUUACAGGUGUGAGCCACCAUGCCCAGCUGUCCUUUUCAAAUUAAAGUGAAUUGACAUUGAUUGAAUUGUAGAAAAUUAAAACAUUAGUGAAGCCCUCUGGAACUAACCAAAGGUUUAUUGAGUAUUACAAAACUUGAACUAAGAAUGACUGUAAUCUGUGUGUUCACAUAUAAAACAAAUAUGGAUUUAUACAUGUUUGAUACAAUGAAUGUAUAAUUAUAAUUUAAUGUCUGCCAUUAACUAUUGAGUAAUGUUCAUCAUUUAGUAUAAACAGGAAACAGAAAACAUCCACUCAAGUUGUUAAACAUGCCUUUGAUUUCUGGACUCUAACUUCUACACUUGGUUCAGUAAAUUAAAUUGCUUAGUGUUCUCUUGUCAUUUGUUUUAUUGUGAAAAUUAGUCAACCCUUGACUAAUGUUGGAUAUAAAGUUACAUGGUAGCCAUGUGUUAAACAUUGUCUGCUGUGU
rnacentral:lncRNA from 10 species